rnacentral:tRNA from 1 species
AGGACUGUAGUUAAUUAUAACAUUUGGCUUGCAUCUAAAAAGUAUUGAGUAUUCAAUCUGUCUU